AUGAUCUCUACAUCCCUCCUGCUGCUGCUGCUGGCAGCUGUACACUGUGUUCACUGUGUUGAGCUGAUCCAGACCGGAUCCACAGUAUUAACCCCUGGUCAGUCACUGACUCUGACCUGUAAAGUGUCUGGAUAUUCAUUAACUAGUACCUACUGUACACACUGGAUCCGACAACCUGCGGGAAAAACUCUGGAGUGGAUCGGACGGAUAUGUUAUGAUGGGAGCACUGCCUACAGUGAGAAACUGAAAAGCAGGUUUCAGGUUUCCAGAGACACGUCCAGCAGCACAGUAACAUUAACAGGGCAGAACAUGCAGAGUGAAGACACAGCUGUGUAUUACUGUGCUCGUGAACCACAGUGAGACAAAUCAACAACAUCCCUGUACAAAAACACCUCAUCCAGUGUACAGUAUAACCGAA